AGUCCAACUGGGCAUCAGGACAAAGAAGCUGCCCUUGCAUGAAGACAUUUGUGUUUACUUCCUGAACUUCACUGAAAAAGGAUUUUACAGCCCUGGGCCUGGAGGGUCACCCCCGUCAUCCCAACAUUAGGAAGGCCGAAGCAGAAAAAUUGCCAAGUGGAAGGCUAGCCUGGGCCACACAGCGAGACUCUGACCCAGACAGGACAAACCAACACUUUACAAAAAUGUCGGCAUCCCUUGAAUCUGUGGGUCUAAUCUGGAAGCUGGCCAACUCUGAAAAGAAACUGAAGGUACAACUAGCUAUACAAAUUGGUGCUGCUUGCCAAUAACACAGGGUGGCCACUGGCACAGGGUAGUGUGGCCACUUGUGGCCUGGGAGACUGGGUCUGUCUAACCCACAGCGUAACCACCCUACUGCCACACCGAACAGAAUGGGUAUAAAAAGCCAGCGUCUGGCCCUGCAUCUAAAGGGCCAGUAUGACCCCAGGUUGUAGGAUGCUGUACCAGAAACACAGCUGUUCUGGGGCAGGCGUGGGACAAAGGCUUUGCAUCUGGAAACCAUCCAAAGCUUCCAGCUGUCAGAGUCAAACCAGGAACCAUGGAAACCAGACCCUUGCAGCUCUGUGUCGCUCUCUGCUUACACUUUCAGGGACCAUGCCUUGCUGGUGGGAAGCUUCAGUCAACCAUGGCUCCACUUGGAACGUCAGAUCCCACAGGCCAAGACUCCACCCCGCCACAGGAUGGACCUCACUUCACACUUCAGGUCCUGGCUGGUAUUGGUGCUUUGGAUAGAUUUGUAUAAACUGGGAGUGGGGGGUGGUUAUGCCUUGAAUUUGAGUUCCUCUGAGUAUACUUUGUCAUUUGCUAGAAUUGUUCGUAGAACUCUAAAAGACAUUUUAUAUACAUUGACCUCUUUAUUUUCAAGGGGGAAGCUUUAAGACUGAGCAUGUCGCAGAGGUUCUGAGGGAUAGGGAAGGCUGUCAUGGCCUUGGCGGGCACUACCCUCCACAGCUCCCACAUCUGGAAGUUCUCUGACUCCUACAGUUCCUCUUUGUUGGUGGUUGCGGGGAAAUAUAAAAAAAUGAACGAGC
rnacentral:lncRNA from 1 species